CAGCAGCCACGGGAAUACGUAGGUGGCAAGCGUUGUCCGGAAUUAUUGGGCGUAAAGGGCUCGCAGGCGGUUUCUUAAGUCUGAUGUGAAAGCCCCGGCUCAACCGGGGAGGGUCAUUGGAAACUGGGAAACUUGAGUGCAGAAGAGGAGAGUGGAAUUCCACGUGUAGCGGUGAAAUGCGUAGAGAUGUGGAGGAACACCAGUGGCGAAGGCGACUCUCUGGUCUGAAACUGACGCUGAGGAGCGAAAGCGUGGGGAGCGAACAGGAUUAGAGACCCGUGUAGUCCCUGUCUCUUAUACA
rnacentral:rRNA from 1 species